UACGAAGAGGGCUAGCGUUGUUCGGAUUUACUGGGCGUAAAGCGCAUUUAGGCGGGUCGUUAAGUUGGGGGUGAAAUCCCGAGGCUCAACCUCGGAACUGCCUUCAAAACUGGCGACCUGGAGCAAGAUAGAGGCAAGUGGAAUUGCGAGUGUAGAGGUGAAAUUCGUAGAUAUUCGCAGGAACACCAGUGGCGAAGGAGACUUGCUGGAUCUUUGCUGAGGUUGAGAUGCGAAAGCGUGGGGAGCAAACAGG
rnacentral:rRNA from 1 species